CCUGGCUUUGUCUCGUGUCACUGUGUGGGACAAGGGCCGUGGGGACGGGGGGGACCCAGCCUGGGUCCCUCCCUCGUGUCCCUUGUCCCCCCUGGUGGCCCUUGGGGACGUUGAAACUGGUUCAGGUCCCUCCCCCGUGUCCCUCGUCCCUCCUGAUGGCCCUUGGCCACCCUUGGGGACAUCAGGGCGGGUUUGUGUCCCUCUCCGCUGUCCCUUGUCCCUCUUGGUGGCCCCUGCCCACUCUUGGGGACACUGGAGGGGUCUCUGGUCCUCCCUGAUGUCCCCAAGGGUGGCCGAGGGCCAUCAGAGCUGGGUUGUGUCCCCCCCCGUGUCCCUUGUGCCUCUUGGUGGCCCUUGGGGACAUCAGAGCCGGUUGGAUCCCUCUCCAGUGUCCCUUGUCCCUCCUGCUGUCCCUUGUCCUCCCUUGGGGACACUGGAGCCUGUCUGGGUCCCUCAGCCCUGUCCCUCGUCCCUCCUGGUGGCCUCUGCCCUCCCUUGGGGACACCGGGGUCCCCUGAUGUCCCCCACCCCCCCUUGGCCCUGCUGGUGUCCCCCAGCCACCCCUGGGGACACCGGGGCUGGUUUGUGUCCCUCAGCUCUGUCCUUGCCCCGGGGUGGCCCUUGGGGACACUCCUGGCACUAUAAACUGUCUCUUGUCCCUCUG